rnacentral:rRNA from 1 species
UACGAAGGGGGCUAGCGUUGCUCGGAAUCACUGGGCGUAAAGGGUGCGUAGGCGGGUUUUUAAGUCAGGGGUGAAAUCCUGGAGCUCAACUCCAGAACUGCCUUUGAUACUGAAAAUCUUGAGUCCGGGAGAGGUGAGUGGAACUGCGAGUGUAGAGGUGAAAUUCGUAGAUAUUCGCAAGAACACCAGUGGCGAAGGCGGCUCACUGGCCCGAUACUGACGCUGAGGCACGAAAGCGUGGGGAGCAAACAGGG